rnacentral:tRNA from 1 species
UCCGUUAUGGUGUAGUGGCGAACAUUAUCGCCUCUCGU